UGGCCACCAUAUAAAGAUCUUGACAGGUUGCUGAAGAGUGUUAGGACAAUGGAGGCACCACAGCCAGAGAAAGGGUGGACCCAACAUAGAGCAAGAAUCCUGCACGAGUCAGCAUCUUUUCAGAAUGUAGCCAACAACUGGAAGAAAGCCAGCUACACUUCUGACAUAAACUCAGAACCUGAAAUUGCAGGAAAAAGGAUUCCCAAGUAAGUCCUCACAAAAAGACAAAAGAAAUGGUUUGUCGAAUGAAAAUAGCAUCAUUUGCCUUCAUAUGUCAUCUAUCUUUAAAAUUUAAGUAAGGGAUAAUGCACGGCUAGCUGUGUUACUCCACCUUUCUCAGCUCCACUGCGUAUGUCUCAGGCAGACCAUCACAGAGACGGCUGGUGUGUUGAUCAACCUAACACACAAGAGCACACCUUUGCUGUCCUGAGACCCUCAGAGGACCACCUAGGAAGAGCCCAGACUCCAGUGGGCGUCUCUCAGGCAGACCAUCAUGGUGACGGCUGGAGUGCUCAUCCACCUGACACACAAGCUACAAGAGCAUUAAAUAGAAAUAAGGAGGAGAAAACACUAAUUCACAGCCCUUAGCACAAUCUAAAACUGAAUAACAUAAUAUUUUGUGUUCAAUCCAUAGAGCACACCUUUUCUGUCCUGAGACCCUCAGGUGACCACCAAGGAAGGACACUGAGUACUUCUGGUGGGAGACAGGAAAAUCCAGUCUUGAGUACUGUACCAAGUCAAUGUACAUCUGUAGAAAGGGCAAUUCUGGAAACUCUAGAGAAAAUGGACAUGAAGAUCAAGCAUCUGACUUCACUGGUCCAGUCUCUAGUGGGGAACAGGCAUGUUGUACCCCAAAUGCAGAUGGCUGAAGAGGAAGAGGGUGGUG